AGUAAGUUUGGGAAUGCUGCAGUCAAAAUGGGAGGUAAACCCCUUCUAAAGCUAAAUAUUGGCCAGAGACCGAUAGCGCACAAGUAGAGUGAUCGAAAGAUGAAAAGCACUUUGAAAAGAGAGUUAAACAGCACGUGAAAUUGUUGAAAAGGGAAGCGCUUGCGACCAGACUUGCGCCCCGUCGGAUCAACCGUCCCUCGGUGGGCGGCGCACUCCGGCGGGCUCAGGCCAGCAUCAGUUUUCCCGGGGGGAGAAAGGCGGUGGGAAUGUGGCUCUUCGGAGUGUUAUAGCCCUCCUGCAGUAAUGCCCACACGGGGGGA
rnacentral:rRNA from 1 species